UACGAAGGGGGCUAGCGUUGCUCGAAAUUACUGGGCGUAAAGGGCGCGUAGGCGGCACUGUUAGUCAGGCGUGAAAUUCCUGGGCUCAACCCGGGGACUGCGCUUGAUACGGCAGAGCUUGAGGAUGGAAGAGGGUCGCGGAAUUCCCAGUGUAGAGGUGAAAUUCGUAGAUAUUGGGAGGAACACCAGUGGCGAAGGCGGCUCACUGGACCGGACCUGACGCUGAGGCGCGAAAGCGUGGGGAGCAAACAGG
rnacentral:rRNA from 1 species